rnacentral:rRNA from 1 species
ACGGGUGAGUAACACGUGGGUAAUCUGCCUGGGAGCGGGGGAUAACCUGGGGAAACUCGGGCUAAUACCGCAUACGUUGGUGGGGCUUCGGUCCUGUCAAGAAAGCUGGCCUCUGCUUGCAAGCUAGCGCUCCUAGUGGAGCCCGCGGCUGAUUAGCUAGUUGGUGAGGUAAAGGCUCACCAAGGCGACGAUCAGUAGCCGGCCUGAGAGGGUGAUCGGCCACACUGGGACUGAGACACGGCCCAGACUCCUACGGGAGGCAGCAGUGGGGAAUAUUGGACAAUGGGCGCAAGCCUGAUCCAGCAACGCCGCGUGGAGGAUGAAGGUCUUCGGAUCGUAAACUCCUGUCAGACGGGACGAAGGUAGUGGGGUGAACAAUCCCGCUGCUUGACGGUACUGUCAGAGGAAGCCCCGGCUAACUCCGUGCCAGCAGCCGCGGUAAUACGGAGGGGGCGAGCGUUAUUCGGAAUUAUUGGGCGUAAAGGGCGCGUAGGCGGCUGAACAAGUCAAAGGUGAAAUCCCUCGGCUCAACUGAGGAACUGCCUUUGAAACUGUUCGGCUUGAGGCCGGGAGGGGGUAGCGGAAU